rnacentral:lncRNA from 1 species
CUUACAUUAUGCAACUGAAUGUGUUACACAAGCUCAUGAAAUGCAGAAAAACAGAUCUUCAGCAAUGAUUCACCACGGACAAAGAAAGGAGACACUUUGCUCCAAAACAGAAUUUUGUGAUUAUUAACCUGGGUCUAACAGUGUGGGUCUAAUUUAGGAGGAGUUUGGGGAAGGAGAUGAGGGAAAACGGGGGAGACCCCAGCCUGUCGGGGUCUCUGGGCUUUUAAUGAGUCGCUGAUUAAAAGAAUAGAAAAAAAACACAACAGGUAAAAGGGGCUGCAGACUGGAACGGGGAGUAUAGCCACCCACCACACACCAUGACAAAGCGCAGAUCUGUGCCGUCUGGCGCGCCCGGCAGGGGCUGCUUCUCCCAGGAAAUAUCAUCUGAGACUACAAAUCCAGGGCAGAACUUGGAAUCAAGCAAGAAGCUAAGCGACGGGUCCAGGACUACUCAUCCGAAUCCUCGCCUGGAACUGUAGUUUCAAAUCAAGAUAUGCUCAUCACCAAGACCAGCACGUCACAAAGACUUUCAGUGUUACGGUCAGGAGUUUACUUUUUACAUUAUCUUACUUACUGACCAGUCCAGUUAUUUUCUUGCUUUAUUUUUUAUCUGUAAAGCUCCACUAACCAGUGGACCUUGUGGCCACACAAAUUGUCAAGCCCAAUCACAUUUUCUCUUUCAUUGAAGGCAUGAAAAUUCUUCCGCCUUCAUGCUUUCAAGCACGUAGUACAAACAUCAUGUUUAUUUCAACUAAUUGAUAUAGACCUCCAAUCAUUUAUUUUCCAGUUUAUAUUUGUUGUUUAGAAUCUGUUUGGAUAAGAAUAUGAGCAUUGGGAUCAUGGUUCUGCUCGAUGGAGAAUUGACAGGAUUUUAGUAAACUGCCCUGUAAAACUUUAUGAUCACGGCCCAACAUUACAGAGCUAAGCUAACUAUGAUUUUUGCUUUAACUAUAAUUCUUUGCACCACUAUAUAAUAAUUGUUUAGAGUAUUUGUGAAUGUCAGAUCCACUAUUAUGCCACUGAGAAUGCUUGAGUUAAAGUGCUAAUAUCUUAGUUGCCUCUUCACCAAUUUAAAGUAAGCAGGCCCUACUAGUCUAUGUCUGUAUAUGUCUGUAAAUCUGGAAGACUCUGGACACUCCCAACAACCUAUGAAAAUUAGUCUUUGUUUCGUCUUUGUCACUGCCUGGUUAUUGACUGUAUUUCCCUGUCCA